AAGUCGUAACAAGGUUUCCGUAGGUGAACCUGCGGAAGGAUCAUUAGCGAAGUUCGGAAUGCAUGUUCGAUGUUGAUGCUGCCCAGCAAUGGGAUGUGCUCGCUCGGAUGUGUGUCCCUUCUCUAUCCACCCCAUUGUGAACCAAGUGUGUGAGCCGAAGAGAAAUCGGACGCUCGCAUGCAAACCUUUAACAUACCCCAAUGAAGUAUCAGAAUGUACCUUGCGUUAACUCGCACAAAUAUAACUUUCAACAACGGAUCUCUUGGCUCUC
rnacentral:misc_RNA from 1 species